rnacentral:misc_RNA from 1 species
GCUUUAAGUCAUAAGACCACCAUGGCUAGUUUGAAAGUAUCACCUCUAUCCAGGGUGUAUGAGUUGAGGGCAUUGCAUGCUAAUUUAGAGUUUAAUGAUGAGGGGCGAAUGGUAGCUACUUGGCAAGUGGAGCCAAUGCUGAUUGAUCAGAUUAAAAUAGCUGCUCAGAAUGAUGAAAACAUUUGAAAUUGAUGGAAGAAGCUCGGGAUGGCAUGAAACCUAGAUUUUCAGUGAAUGACGAUGGCUUACUACUAUACCAGGAUAGAAUGUUAUCCCAAAUGAUGUUGAAUUGAGGCAAGUCAUUAUGAAGGAAGCACAU